rnacentral:rRNA from 1 species
UGAGUAACGCGUAAAGAACUUGCCCUUUAGACUGGGAUAACAGAGGGAAACUUCUGAUAAUACUGGAUAAGUUAGUAUAUCGCAUGAUAUACAAAUGAAAGCUACGGCACUAAAGGAGAGCUUUGCGUCCUAUUAGCUAGUUGGUAAGGUAAGAGCUUACCAAGGCGAUGAUAGGUAGCCGGCCUGAGAGGGUGGACGGCCACAAGGGGACUGAGAUACGGCCCUUACUCCUACGGGAGGCAGCAGUA